CACGUGGGUGAUCUGCCCAAACUUCGGGAUAAGCCUGGGAAACUGGGUCUAAUACCGGAUAUGACCGGCUCCUGCGAUGGGGUUGGUGGAAAGCUUUGCGGUUGGGAUGGGCCCGCGGCCUAUCAGCUUGUUGGUGGGGUAAAUGGCCUACCAAGGCGACGACGGUAGCCGACCUGAGAGGGUGAUCGGCCACACUGGGACUGAGACACGGCCCAGACUCCUACGGGAGGCAGCAGUGGGAAUAUGCACAAUGGGCGCAAGCCUGAUGCAGCGACGCCGCGUGAGGGAUGACGGCCUUCGGGUUGUAAAACCUCUUUCGCCAGGGACGAAGCGCAAGUGACGGUACCUGGAGAAGAAGCACCGGCCAACUACGUG
rnacentral:rRNA from 1 species